rnacentral:rRNA from 1 species
UACGGAGGGGGCAAGCGUUAUUCGGAAUUAUUGGGCGUAAAGGGCGCGUAGGCGGCUAGAUGUGUCAAAGGUGAAAUCCCUCGGCUCAACUGAGGAACUGCCUUUGAAACUGUCUGGCUUGAGGCCGGGAGAGGGUAGCGGAAUUCCCAGUGUAGCGGUGAAAUUCGUAGAUAUUCGCAAGAACACCAGUGGCGAAGGCGGCUUACUGGACCGGUUCUGACGCUGAGGCGCGAAAGCGUGGGGAGCAAACAGG